AUGAACAAUGCCAGUUCCGACUCUAAAUCUUUUGUCAAAACUAAAGAAUCUCAAAAGAUUUUUGGUUCCCCUUUCUGCCUUCUUAGAUCCAGAAUCGACCUUGUUUGGGGAUGAUUCGAGGGAAGAUGGUGAGGAAUUAGAGGUCAGGGGUGAAUAGAGGUUGUAUGGUGUUGUUCUGGUGGUGUUUGGGUAUUUUUUCGCCGGUAAUAAUGGAGUUUAGGAUUAAUUUGAGAGGAAUGGAGAAGAAGAGAGACCAAAUCUUU
rnacentral:lncRNA from 1 species